rnacentral:rRNA from 1 species
AUCGAAAGGUUGGCUAAUACCGCAUACGCCCUAUGGGGGAAAGCUAGGGAUCUUCGCACCGGCGUUAAUGGAGCGGCCGAUAUCUGAUUAGCUAGUUGGUGGGGUAAAGGCCCACCAAGGCGACGAUCAGUAGCUGGUCUGAGAGGACGACCAGCCACACUGGAACUGAGACACGGUCCAGACUCCUACGGGAGGCAGCAGUGGGGAAUUUUGGACAAUGGGCGCAAGCCUGAUCCAGCCAUUCCGCGUGAGUGAAGAAGGCCUUCGGGUUGUAAAGCUCUUUCGCAAGGGAAGAAAACUUAGGCGCUAAUAUCGCUUGAGGUUGACGGUACCUUGAUAAGAAGCACCGGCUAACUACGUGCCAGCAGCCGCGGUAAUACGUAGGGUGCGAGCGUUAAUCGGAAUUACUGGGCGUAAAGCGUGCGCAGGCGGUUUUGUAAGUCAGAUGUGAAAUCCCCGAGCUCAACUUGGGAACUGCGUUUGAAACUACAAGACUAGAAUAUGUCAGAGGGGGGUAGAAUUCCACGUGUAGCAGUGAAAUGCGUAGAGAUGUGGAGGAAUACCAAUGGCGAAGGCAGCCCCCUGGGAUAAUAUUGACGCUCAUGCACGAAAGCGUGGGGAGCAAACAGGAUUAGAUACCCUGGUAGUC